GAAUAGAUACCCUGGAAGUCCACGCCCUAAACGAUGCGAACUGGAUGUUGGGUACAUUACGGUACUCAGUGUCGAAGCUAACGCGUUAAGUUCGCCGCCUGGGGAGUACGGUCGCAAGACUGAAACUCAAAGGAAUUGACGGGGGGCCCGCACAAGCGGUGGAGUAUGUGGUUUAAUUCGAUGCAACGCGAAGAACCUUACCUGGCCUUGACAUCUGUCGAAUCCUGCAGAGAUGCGGGAGUGCCGCAAGGAACGACAAGACAGGUGCUGCAUGGCUGUCGUCAGCUCGUGUCGUGAGAUGUUGGGUUAAGUCCCGCAACGAGCGCAACCCUUGUCCCUAGUUGCCAGCACGUAAUGGUGGGAACUCUAGGGAGACUGCCGGUGACAAACCGGAGGAAGGUGGGGAUGACGUCAAGUCCUCAUGGCCCUUACGGCCAGGGCUACACACGUACUACAAUGGUCGGUACAGAGGGUUGCGAAGCCGCGAGGUGGAGCCAAUCCCAGAAAACCGAUCCCAGUCCGGAUCGGAGUCUGCAACG
rnacentral:rRNA from 1 species